GUGAUCCUACGGGGGGCAGCAGUGGGGAAUAUUGCACAAUGGGGGGAACCCUGAUGCAGCGACGCCGCGUGAAGGAAGAAGUAUUUCGGUAUGUAAACUUCUAUCAGCAGGGAAGAAAAUGACGGUACCUGACUAAGAAGCCCCGGCUAACUACGUGCCAGCAGCCGCGGUAAUACGUAGGGGGCAAGCGUUAUCCGGAUUUACUGGGUGUAAAGGGAGCGUAGGCGGCAGUGCAAGUCAGAAGUGAAAGCCCAAGGCUCAACCAUGGGACUGCUUUUGAAACUGUACAG
rnacentral:rRNA from 1 species